rnacentral:rRNA from 1 species
UACGGGGGGGUGAAGCGUUGUUCGGAAUUACUGGGCGUAAAGGGCUCGUAGGCGGCCAACUAAGUCAUACGUGAAAUCCCUCAGCUUAACUGGGGAACUGCGUGUGAUACUGGAUGGCUUGGAUUUGGGAGAGGGAUGCGGAAUUCCAGGUGUAGCGGUGAAAUGCGUAGAUAUCUGGAGGAACACCGGUGGCGAAGGCGGCAUCCUGGACCAAUAUUGACACUCAGGUGCGACAGCGUGGGGAGCAAACAGG